rnacentral:hammerhead_ribozyme from 1 species
AUCCAGAUGAUGAGCCUCAAAUGAGACGAAAUGCGCAUCCUAGAU